CACGCCUUCUUCCCAGUAGAAUAUGUGAGGGAGGAGGUGAGGCUGGACGAAGGCUGGGUAAUACUGAACCGGGGGGAACUCAAUUCUUGUUCCUGAAGGGAACACAUACGCGCGCGCAGGCACACAUACGCACGUCCCAUUCAAACACUGUUAGACUUUUAAACCGAAAUCCAAAAGGAGCCUGACUUGCCUCCUGUUGCAAUAAUCCCGUUGCAGUGUCAAAGGCCGAGAAGCAUUCUCUCGUUGCAUCAUUUUUAUGCUCAGUGAGAGGUCUAGCACCAGAGCUCUUAGAUUCCUCUGCUCUGCAAAAGUAUGAUCCCAGCCCCCAGGACUCUUCAUAUUCCCCUCUCGCGUGGACUGUGCCUUUUCAAGGUAACGGGUCUAGUUUACUUCUACAUCCUUUAACUCACCCCCAUCUGUUCCAGGGAACUGACAGCCACCAAGAGAAUGAGAGAGUCCUGGCUGGCUGAACAGAGGACUAUGGUAUUGCUCCGACCGUUUUGCUGUCUGGAUUUAGACUUUGCCACAUCGUGACGUUCUGGCGUUAGUAUCAUUUAGAAUGUCCCACGCUGUCAGAUUCACAUACAUGCACGCAACUCAGUGCUGUGCACGUACAGACUCUGAUCUGAAAACUUAAGUUAUUAGGUGGGAAAUCCCCCCUUCUUAGCUGUGGUGGAACUGCAGGAAUGGGUCGGCAAAGGCAGAGCAUACCAUACUUCGUUCUCUUCUAAAAGGAAUCCCUGGAGAGAUUUUCUACCCAGGACUUUUGUAAUUGAAUUCCCUAGUUUGGGGAUGCACCAGAGAAAAAUUGGUAAUUGAACAGUGCAUAUUCUGAUGAAGAAACUGAACCUCUAAAAAGAAAGCAAAGUGACCUGUUGGGAAUACAUUUUGGACAUGGCUAAUGUGGGGAUUUAUUCUGCCAGACUAUGCAAAUCCCAAAGUCCUAUAAGAUGCAAUAAUUUUCUAUUUCCUGGAAGGGCAUUGCUUUUGAUCAUUUUUUUUUUAAUACCGAGGGAUUUAUUUUUGGGAACACACCACAAUGGAAGGAAUGUAGGAUUAUUUUGAAGACCUAUUUUUGGCUCUGCUACUCAUCAUUACCUGGAUGACUUUUGGCAGGAACUCCUUGGCUCUAGGAUGAAGACUGGGUCUUGUUGAGCUGAUUAAUGACUUUAUAUCAGUACUUCCUAUCUUGGUUACUGACGCCAGUUUGGAGCAAAUCCAAGAUCCUGCCUGCAAUCUUUCAGUGGAUAUGCACUGUAAAUAUUUAAAAAAAGUAUGAGAAUAAUUUCCUCAGAUAAACUAAAAAUUUCUAAUAUUGUCAAAUAUUAUAGAACUUCAGAGUGUAAAUUUACUUUUAUGACAGGAAUUUUCUUUCAUUUGACUCUUCCAUUGGAUUUGGAUUUGGUCCAGUAUUGUCUGGCACAUUUGUCUGGCAUAUCUACUGCAAAGUGCUUUACAGUUAUGUUUAUUAGUUAUUCCUGACAGCCAUGAUGUGAACUUGGCUAAUAAUAUUCUCUCCAUUUUGCAGAUGAAGAUACUGAGGUAAAGUGUAAUUAAUCAAGUCAAAAUAAAUAUCCCGAUUCAUUUUUAACCCCAAAAGUAGAGGGUAAUGGUCUCCAGUAAAAAUAUCUAAUUGUCUGAUUCUUUCUACCACACACGGUUACUGGAGCCUCAAAGACUGUUAUUAAGAAAAAUAGCAUGUGUUCUGGGGGUAGAAUGGGGACAAUAGUGUAUCUUUACACACACUUUAGCUUUGAUCUGGUCUUGAAAACCAAAUAUAAAUACAGUUAGUUUUUGUAUGUUACUAGAAUAAAUAUUUUUAUUUUGAAUUUUGAAAAAAUAUUUUAUUUUCCCAAUUAUAUGUAAUAAUAAUUUCCAACAUAUGAUUUCUGAAAUUAUAAGAGCCAAAUUGUCUUCCUUCCUCCUUUUCCUCCCCCCUCCCAGAGAUGGUAUCUAAUUUGGUCUGGGUUAUAUAUGUAUCCUCAUGCAAAAUAUAUUUUCAUAUUUGUCGUUGUUGUGAGAAUUAAAUACUCAUAUAAAACAAUCCCCUCAACCCCUCCCCCCCCAAAAAAACCCUCACAAAUAAACUAAAGUGAAAAAUAGAAUGCUUUCAUCUGCAUUCUGACAACCAACAGUUUUUUUUUCCCUCUGGAAGUGGAUAGCAUUCUUUGUCCUAAGUCCUUCAGAAUUGUCCUGGAUCAUUGUAUUGCUGUGAGUAGCUAAGUCUUUCACAGUUGAUCAUGGUAUGAUAUUGCUGUUUCUGCGUACAAUAAUCUUCUGAUUGUCUACUUCAUUCUGCAUCUGUUCAUUUAGGUCUUUUCCCCAGCUUUUUGAGAAAUCAUUCUGCUCAUCAUUUCAUAUAACACAAAAGUGUUAUAUCUUAUCCAACAAUUUGUUCAGUCAUUUCUCAAUUUUUGGACAUCCCCCUCAAUUUAGAAUUCUUUGCCAUCACAAAAAGAGCUGCUAUAAAUAUUUUUGUACAAAUAUGUCUUUUCCCCUACUU